rnacentral:rRNA from 1 species
UACGUAGGGUGCAAGCGUUGUCCGGAAUUAUUGGGCGUAAAGAGCUCGUAGGCGGUUUGUUGCGUCGGCUGUGAAAUCCCGAGGCUCAACCUCGGGUCUGCAGUCGAUACGAGCAAACUAGAGUGUUGCAGGGGAGACUGGAAUUCCUGGUGAUAGCGGUGAAAUGCGCAGAUAUCAGGAGGAACACCGGCGGUGUAGACGGCUUGCUAGACCACCCCUGACGCUGAGGCACGAAAGCGUGGGUAGCAAACAGG